rnacentral:rRNA from 1 species
AGACUUGGGACCGGGAGAGGUGUGGGGUACUCUCAGGGUAGGGGUAAAAUCCUGUCAUCCUGAGAGGACCACCUGUUGCGAAGGCGCCACACUAGAACGGAUUCGACGAUCAGGGACGAAACCUAGGGGCACGAACCGGAUUAGAUACCCGGGUAGUCCUAGGUGUAAACGCUGUGGACUUGAUGUUGGGGGUGCUCCGAGCACUCUCAGUGUCGAAGCGAAGGUGAUAAGUCCACUGCCUGGGGAGUACGGUCGCAAGGCUGAAACUUAAAGGAAUUGGCGGGGGAGCACUGCAACCUGAGGAUUGUGCGGUUUAAUUGGAUUCAACGCCGGAAAACUCACCAUAGCCGACGGACAAAUGAAGGCCAGCGUAACGAGCUUGCUGGAUUGUUCGAGAGGUAUUGCAUGGCCGUCGUCAGUUCGUACCGUAAGGCGUUCUGUUAAGUCAGAUAACGAACGAGACCCUCGUCCCUAUUUGCCAACCAGGUCCCCGGAUCUGGCGCACUAUAGGGAGACUGCCCGCGCUAAGUGGGAUGAAGGGGAGGGCAACGGUAGGUCAGUAUGAUCCGAAUGCUAUGGGCUACACGCGCAAUACAAAGGACGGGACAAUGGGCUGCAACUCCGAGAGGAACGACGCUAUCCCGAAACCCGUUCGUAGUUCGGAUUGAGGGCUGUAACUCGCCCUCAUGAAGCUGGAUUAGGUAGUAAUCGCGUCUCAACAGGGCGCGGUGAAUAUGCCCCUGCUCCUUGCACACACCGCCCGUCAAACCAUCUUAGUUGGGGGUGGGUGAGGCUACCUUUGAAUGGGGUAUUCGAGCCUGCCUUCGACAAGGAGGGUUAAGUCGUAACAAGGUAUCUGUAGGGGAACCUGCAGAUG